rnacentral:rRNA from 1 species
CUUGGUCAUUUAGAGGAGUAAAAGUCGUAACAAGGUUUCCGUAGGUGAACCUGCGGAAGGAUCAUUCAUAAUAAGUGUUUUAUGGCACUUUUUAAAUCCAUAUCCACCUUGUGUGCAAUGUCAGUCGUUCUCUUCUAUGGGAACGACCAAACAUCAACCAACUCUUUAACUCUUUGUCUGAAAAAUAUUACGAAUAAAAUAAUUCAAAAUACAACUUUCAACAACGGAUCUCUUGGCUCUCGCAUCGAUGAAGAACGCAGCGAAAUGCGAUACGUAAUGUGAAUUGCAGAAUUCAGUGAAUCAUCGAAUCUUUGAGCGCAUAUUGCGCUCUUUGGUAUUCCGAAGAGCAUGCUUGUUUGAGUAUCAGUAAACACCUCAAAUCCUUCAAUUUGUUUUGAAGGCUUUGGACUUGAGCAAUCCCAACACCAGUCUUUACGAUCGGUGGAGGGUUGCUUGAAAUGCAGGUGCAGCUGGACAUUCUCCUGAGCUAUAAGCAUAUUUAUUUAGUCCCGUCAAACGGAUUAUUACUUUUGCUGCAGCUAACAUAAAGGGAGUCUGACCAUAUUGGCUGACUGAUGCAGGAUUUCACAAGGGUCGGCAACGAUUCUUGUAAAACUCGAUCUCAAAUCAAGUAAGACUACCCGCUGAACUUAAGCAUAUCAAUAAGCGGGAGGAA